ACAUGUUAAAACAUUUAUUUUCAAUAUAAAGGACUUCUUACAUUUGGAGUAUCAAAUGAUAAUAUUUGGAUCACCUGCCAACUUAAAGAAUCAUGAUUAUUUUCAUUUUAUGGUAUGUGGCCAUUGCAUACAGCUUCUACAGAGGUUGGUUACCAGCUGCACCGUCGGCAGCAGAAGGGUCGGGAGCUGCCACACAAGACAAACCAGUAGUUAAAAUGGAAUGCCUUAUAGGGCCAUAAUUCUGGAUUCGAAGAUGUCCCCCGUAAGCUAAAACUAGCUAAACAUUUGUGUAUUUCAGCACUAAAAUAAAGGAUAUGAAAAAUAA